CUUUUUCUUCUCCGGAUCUGUUGAUAUCUCGAAAUUUCAGCACAGGAUCUCAACAAAAUCAUCUCUAAAAAUCACUCAAAUUAUCCCGCGAAAUUAACCCGCGAAUUUUCGAUUUCCCCUUUAAUUUCUCUGAAAUCUCCCAAAGAAAUGCUGCAUAAAUCUCUUCACUUUUCUCUGAAUCCAUCGCGUACUCUCACGAUCUCACCGUCCCAAGAACAAACCUUUUUUGGUUGUUCAUUCAGAUCGGCCUUCAUACCAAGGUUAAAGAGAUAACCUAAGGUGUGACUAUGGAGACAUUGAUGUAUAUUUGCAACCUAUUAUGGAAGAAUUGAAAGAAUUAUGGGGCGUCGGUGGUAAGACGUACGAUUCUUCUUUAGCUAUGCUCUCUAGGCAGAGCACCAAGAGGCAGUUGGAACUGCCAAUAAAGAAGUAUCUGCGGAACAAACGACAUCUUGAAGGGUGCUUGAUGGACCUAAUAAUGGAAGAGGACUUGCUCCACUUGACUUCGAGAUACUUGAGUUAUGCUGAGACACACCUGCUAAAACAACGGAAGAGAGUUGUAUGACUGCACUCGAUUAGGCCAAGAGUUCUAUCUUUCUGUGUUAAUUCAAACUAGUCAUGAUUCAGGUGGUCUUAACUCAUAAGAAACAAUAUGGUCUUAAAAUACCUUUCAAUUCUUAUUUCGAGUAAGUUGAUUGAUUGUACGGAUACUAAAAUUUCUGGAACUCAUUAAUAAUAAUAAAUACAUAAGAUCACUUGUUAAGCUA